rfam:Loxodonta africana unplaced genomic scaffold scaffold_72, whole genome shotgun sequence.
GCAGUGGUGGUUUGGUGGUAGUAGCCUAGCCUUCCAUGCAGGAGACCCGGGUUCAAUUCCCAGCCAGUGCA